CAAAGGGCUUGCGGUGGAUGCCUUGGCACUAAGAAGCGAUGAAGGACGUGGUAAGCUGCGAUAAGCUUCGGGGAGUGGCACACACACUUUGAUCCGGAGAUUUCCGAAUGAGGCAACUCACCAAUUAUUGGUAUCUUGCAGUGAAUACAUAGCUGUAAGAAGCAAACGAGGGGAACUGAAACAUCUAAGUACCUUCAGGAAGAGAAAUCAAAUAGAGAUUACCCUAGUAGUGGCGAGCGAACGGGUAACAGCCUAAACCUUUUUCAUUAAUUUGAAAGAGGGGUCGUGGGACCGCGAUGUGGGACCUGAGAAGUUAGAGGAACAGUCUGGAAAGACUGGCGAAACAGGGUGAUAGCCCCGUACUCGAAAAUUUCAAAGGCCCUAGCGGCAUCCCGAGUACCACAGGACACGAGAAAUCCUGUGGGAAUCUGUGAGGACCACCUCAUAAGGCUAAAUAUUCCUUAGUGACCGAUAGAGAACAAGUACCGUGAGGGAAAGGUGAAAAGAACCCCGGGAGGGGAGUGAAAGAGAAUAUGAAGCCGUAUGCCUACAAGCAGUCAGAGGGUUAUUGAUGGCCUGAUGGCGUGCCUGUUGAAGAAUGAGCCGGCGAGUUACCGUCACAUGCGAGGUUAAGGGGUUACCCCCGGAGCCGCAGGGAAACCGAGUCUGAAUAGGGCGAUGAGUAUGUGGCGGUAGACCCGAACCCGGGUGACCUAGCCAUGUCCAGGAUGAAGCGUGGGUGAAACUGCGUGGAGGUCCGAACCCACCGAUGUUGAAAAAUCGGGGGAUGAGGUGUGGUUAGCGGAGAAAUUCCAAUCGAACUCGGAGCUAGCUGGUUCUCCCCGAAAUUGCUUGAGGGUUAGCGUCGGAUGUUUCCUACUGGGGGUAGAGCACUGGCAGGGUGCGGGCUGCAAAUCGCGGUACCAAAUCCUAUCAAACUCCGAAUACCAGUAGAGUUAAGUCCGGCAGUGAGACGGCGAGAGAUAAGUUCCGUCGUCAAGAGGGAAACAGCCCAGACCACCGACUAAGGUCCCGAAGUUACAGCUAAGUGACUAAGGAGGUGGGGUCGCAGAGACAACCAGGAGGUUGGCUUAGAAGCAGCCAUCCUUAAAAGAAAGCGUAAUAGCUCACUGGUCAAGCGAUCCUGCGCCGAAAAUAUACGGGGCUCAAGCUGUACACCGAAGUCGUGGGAUUGAGUAAUCAAUCGGUAGGGGAGCGUUCUGUUGUAGGCUGAAGUACGACCGCGAGGACGUAUGGACGAAGCAGAAGUGAGAAUGUCGGCAUAAGUAGCGAAAACAUUGGUGAGAAUCCAAUGCGCCGGAAAUCCAAGGUUUCCUGGGGAAGGUUCGUCCGCCCAGGGUUAGUCGGGCCUAAGCUGAGGUCGAAAGACGUAGGCGAUGGACAACAGGUUGAUAUUCCUGUACCACCGAAGCACGUUUGAGCAAAGGGGGGACGCAGGAGGGUAGGUCAUCCCGCGACUGGAAGUGCGGGUCUAAGCAUGUAGGUAGCCCGGAUAGGCAAAUCCGUUCGGGUAUUACCGAGGUGUGAUGGCGAGUCCUUACGAGGACGAAGUGACUAAUCCCACACUGCCGAGAAAAGCCUCGUUGCGAGUGCGUAGGUGACCGUACCGCAUAACCGACACAGGUGGGUUGGUAGAGAAUACCAAGGCGCGCGAGAGAACUCUCGUUAAGGAACUCGGCAAAAUGACCCCGUAACUUCGGGAGAAGGGGUNNNNNNNNNNNNNNNNNNNNNNNNNNNNNNNNNNNNNNNNNNNNNNNNNNNNNNNGAAGCCCCAGUAAACGGCGGCCGUAACUAUAACGGUCCUAAGGUAGCGAAAUUCCUUGUCGGGUAAGUUCCGACCCGCACGAAUGGAGUAACGACUUGGGAGCUGUCUCGACGAGAGGCUCGGCGAAAUUGGAUUAUCUGUGAAGAUACGGAUUCCCCAUACCAGGACAGAAAGACCCCAUGGAGCUUUACUGUAGCUUGCCAUUGAGUCUGGUUCUAGCUUGUGCAGAAUAGGUGGGAGGCUAUGAAACGAGGCCGCCAGGUUUCGUGGAGCCACCGGUGAGAUACCACUCUGGCUAGGACUAGACCCUAACAACGGCCCGUUAUCCGGGCGUUGGACCGUGGCAGGUAGGCAGUUUGACUGGGGCGGUCGCCUCCUAAAGAGUAACGGAGGCGCCCAAAGGUUCCCUCAGGCUGGUUGGAAAUCAGCCAUCGAGCGUAAAGGCAUAAGGGAGCUUGACUGCGAGGCCUACAAGCCGAGCAGGUACGAAAGUAGGGCUUAGUGAUCCGACGGCUGUGCGUGGAAGCGCCGUCGCUCAACGGACAAAAGUUACCCUGGGGAUAACAGGCUGAUCUCCCCCAAGAGUCCACAUCGACGGGGAGGUUUGGCACCUCGAUGUCGGCUCGUCGCAACCUGGGGCGGUAGUACGUCCCAAGGGUUGGGCUGUUCGCCCAUUAAAGCGGUACGUGAGCUGGGUUCAGAACGUCGUGAGACAGUUCGGUCCAUAUCCGGUAUGGGCGCAGGGGAAUUGAGGGGAGUCGUCCUUAGUACGAGAGGACCGGGACGAACGGACCGCCAGUGUACGGGUUGUCGCGCCAGCGGCAAACGCCCGGUAGCUGUGUCCGGAGUGGAUAAGAGCUGAAAGCAUCUAAGUUCGAAGCCCACCCCAAGAUGAGUUCCCCCACUGGGUUAACCAGGUAAGACCUGCGGAAGAACACCGCGUUGAUAGGCCGCCGGUGGAAGGGCAGUAAUGUCCGUAGCCAAGCGGUACUAAUCGGUCGAGGGCUUGACCU
rnacentral:rRNA from 1 species